rnacentral:tRNA from 1 species
CAGGGUGUAGCUCAGCAGGUAGAGUGCUGCAUUUGGAAUGCAGAAGUCGCAGGUUCAAGCCCUGCCACCCUGA